rnacentral:rRNA from 1 species
GCCUACGGCCACACCACCCUGAAAGUGCCUGAUCUCGUCUGAUCUCAGAAGCGAUACAGGGUCGGGCCUGGUUAGUACCUGGAUGGGAGACCGCCUGGGAAUACCAGGUGUCGUAGGCUUUUCAAAG